rnacentral:rRNA from 1 species
AACGAACGCUGGCGGCGUGCCUAAUACAUGCAAGUCGAGCGCAGGAAGCCGUCUGAACCCUUCGGGGGGACGACGGUGGAAUGAGCGGCGGACGGGUGAGUAACACGUAAAGAACCUGCCCAUAGGUCUGGGAUAACCACGAGAAAUCGGGGCUAAUACCGGAUGUGUCAUCGGACCGCAUGGUCCGCUGAUGAAAGGCGCUCCGGCGUCGCCCAUGGAUGGCUUUGCGGUGCAUUAGCUAGUUGGUGGGGUAACGGCCCACCAAGGCGACGAUGCAUAGCCGACCUGAGAGGGUGAUCGGCCACACUGGGACUGAGACACGGCCCAGACUCCUACGGGAGGCAGCAGUAGGGAAUCUUCCACAAUGGACGAAAGUCUGAUGGAGCAACGCCGCGUGAACGAUGAAGGCUUUCGGGUCGUAAAGUUCUGUUGUAAGGGAAGAACAAGUGCCGCAGGCAAUGGCGGCACCUUGACGGUACCUUGCGAGAAAGCCACGGCUAACUACGUGCCAGCCGCCGCGGUAAGAC